CCUACGGGUGGCAGCAGUGAGGAAUAUUGGUCAAUGGCCGGAAGGCUGAACCAGCCAUGCCGCGUGAAGGUCAGUGCCCUAUGGGCGUUAAACUUCUUUUGUGCGGGAGCAAUAAUGGUCACGUGUGGCCAGACGAGAGUACCGUACGAAUAAGCAUCGGCUAACUCCGUGCCAGCAGCCGCGGUAAAACGGGGGAUGCAAGCGGUAUCCGGAUUUAUUGGGGUUAAAGGGUGCGUAGGCUGUGAGGUAAGUCAGCGGUGAAAUGCCCCCGCUCAACGGGGUGAAGUGCCAUUGAUACUGCCUUGCUGGAAUGCGGAUGCCGUAGGAGGAAUGUGUGGUGUAGCGGUGAAAUGCAUAGAUAUCACACAGAACACCGAUUGCGAAGGCAUCUCACGAAUCCGCGAUUGACGCUGAUGCACGAAAGCGUGGGUAUCAAACAGGAUUAGAGACCCGUGUAGUC
rnacentral:rRNA from 1 species